GGGAUUGAGCAAAAAUAAGUGGAUGGCUAGGAACACCAAGGUACAUAAAGGAUUAGUAAUGGAGAUUAUGUAAGUUAUCCAAGGGACAUUUUUGCAUAAAAGGAAUACUAAUUGGGGCUUUAAAUUAGUAGAAAUGAUCAGGCAGUACUCCCCAUGAUUCCGAUCCAGAGUAUGCUCCUAUCCACUAAUUAAAGAAAUAGCUAUCAGGAACGAAAUAAUCCUUUACUUUCUUUUAAAGCCCCCUUCACUUUUUUUAGAAAGAAGACUAGGAACGAAAAAAAAAAAAAAAAAAAAGAAUGUAAUUACAAUAGAAAAAAUCUUUUCUUAUUCUUUCUUUCUUAUAUCCAUAUUCAUAGAGAUAGAAUUCUUGUCAGGAUUUAUGAAUUAAUAUAAUGUCUAAUUCUUUUUCGUAAUGGAAAAGGCGGGGUUGAAAUAUCUAUUGAUAUUUCUGCAAGGAGUAUUUUAUUGAAGGAUUAAGUUAUUACUCAACAAAGAAAAUAUUAAAGGAUGAGAGCAAUUCAGAAGUACCUUAUUUAUUUAUUAUUAUUAUAGAUUAUAGCAGACAGAAUUCCAUUGGCCUAAUUCCGAGACCUUCCGGUAGAUUUUGACUCUAUCUAUCCUACAAAUAUAUCAAGAUAAAUAAAUAAUACCGACCCGGUCCCUAGAUUAAUUAUUGGCCCUCGAGGAGCCGUAUGAAGUGAAAAUCUCAUGUACGGUUCUGUAAUAGCGAUGGGAGCAGUGAUGUUAUCACCGACUAUGAUUAUCUAUAGCGAUGGGAGCAGUGAUGUUAUCAUCGACUAUGAUUAUCUAACAGUUCAAGUACAGUUGAUAUAGUUGAGGCGCAGUCAAAAUAUGGUUUUUGGGGGUGGAAUUUCUUCCCUGCCCGGCCUCACAGUGAAAUUAGAGAAUGUGCUGUGAUGGCUUGCUGAACCAAAGGCCGUAUCAGAGAAGCUGUAGCCUUAGGUAAAUACUGCCCAUACGUAACCUCUAUAUACACUCGAAUCAGCUUUUCCAAGCACGGCACUCACUCCACAAGUAAUGAAGGCUAAAAAGUUGAUUGUUGAUUGUCAAUUGUCAUUUGUCAGCCCAAUCUUAUCCAGUGGUGUUUAGGAAAUACAUUGAGCAUCCAAUUCCGUAUCUAAAUGUAUAAACCAAGCUAUCACUAAUCCAUCAACUAGAGCCCACAGCUUUUGCUAAAAUGCGCUUUCGCUCAAGCUAAGUUUUCAAGCGAAUUCAACAUCCACUUUAUGUUGCAGUCACAUUAGACAGGUGACCCAGAAGACCCACGGAAAAGAGAAAGAUAAAAGGGCAACGGAAGGAAGGUUUUGAUGCGAUGUCAUUGCUUUUCUCUUCACGGUUAAACAUUCCAGCCAUUCAACUUAUCGCCGUCCACAGCAUGAGCGCCACCAUCAAACAUCCUUAUGGUACAAGUCUUGUUUUCUCCAUCACGCUACUCAAGUAUCAGGUACCAAAAAUAAAAAAUAAAAAAUGAAAAAGUCCAAGCAGCGCCCCUUGUUUGAUCAUUUGUUAAUUGGGAUUUGGGAUUUGGGAUUUGGGCAUUGCCAAUUGAGAUUGAAACGGUCAAUUGGGUGCGCCUUACAUAAAAUUUGAAAGCGGUACGUUUUUAAAUUCAGUAACUUCUGUCAUGUCUCGAUGUUGAGCUUUUAAAUGACGUGAAAACAAAAGGAACCGAUUCAAUUUACGUAUGGAAUGGCCUGAAAACCACAACAAUACAAAAGAAGGCGAGAAUGACUUCAUUUCCAUGUCACUGCAAUAUUACAAACAAUACUUUCACGGACUUGUACUAUAAAUUAAGCAGCAUAAACGGUUCCAGAGAGUUAUUACAAGUUACAACCCACAGGUGACGACAAACAUGAAAAAAAUAAAAUAAAAACAAUAGGGCUAGAUCUGUAACUUGAUAGGAUAUGGUUUUUACUUCAAGGCUUGUUCUAGCUACUAUGUAGCUUUCGUACCAACCAUCGUUUCAAUGGAGCCAAACACCUGCGGAUUCAUUUCCUCUGCAAUCCUUUUUCCUCCGAUUCCCAUGCCAAAUCACAGAAGAAAGAACCCCCACCCCAGUCUAAAAAAAAGGUGUUAAUCUGAAAUGAUAAUUGAGAUUUGUCUACCAUCUCAACAGAGUUAGAUGACAUGCAUGAGUGAUCCACUGGAUCUAACUCACACACGCCCAAAACCCAGAGGAGGACUUGGAAGAAAAGAAAACCCCAGGAAAAAAAAAAAACAAAAAAAAAGAGAGGACUAUGGGUGAUCAAAAUUUCUGAAAAUAUUAAUUUGUAUAUAUAGAAAUGGUGUUAGUCUUCAAACCCGACCUUCUUCCAAAUUGCAUUCCUCACCCGACUCAAGUCCCUCCCCUUCAAAGUCCUUCCAAU
rnacentral:lncRNA from 1 species